CUUCUGACCUCAGGGUUGCCAAAAAGAAGAAUGAUAACACUUCUGGUGGGAAAGGGUUUGGCAAAAGGAAGAGAAGAUUUAUAUAUGGUUAUUGCAAGAACUUCUGCGUCAAUCUUUACUAGAACACAUGGGUUUAUUCCAACCCAGAGUUUCAUUUUAUGGUGAAAUUGGAUCAGUCAAUUAAAUUUGUUUUAGCAAAUAUACGUCUCUGGUGGGCAAAAAUAAGACACUAUUAUUGAGGUGUAGUGUUUAACAAUUUGUAUCCAGUCAAAUGUUCCUUAUUUCGCCAGUUGUCUUUAUAAUCCCCCGAAAGUAUUGAGUGAGAUGUCCUUUAUAAGCUAUUGUAACUGUACAUUUGUUCAUGUGCAUUUUUCUACCAAUUUUCGAUUUCGGUUUAGAAAUGCUUUGUAUGAACUUGUCUUCACAUAAAAAUGCUUUAUUAUGUCCCCCUUCGAAGAAGAGGGGUAUAUUGUUUUGCUCAUGUCGGUCCGUAUGUCCGUCUGUCCACCAGAUGGUUUCCAGAUGAUAACUCAAGAACACUUAGGCCUAGGAUCAUGAAACUUCAUAGGUACAUUGAUCAUGACUCACAGAUGACCCCUAUUGAUUUUGAGGUCACUAGGUCAAAGGUCAAGGUCACGGUGACCCGAAAUAGUAAAAUGGUUUCCGGAUGAUAACUCAAGAAGGCUUAUGCCAAGGAUCAUGAAACUUCAUAGGUACAUUGAUCAUGACUCGCAGAUGACCGCUAUUGAUUUUCAGGUCACUUGGUCAAAGGUCAAGGUCAUGGUGACCCGAAAUAGUAAAAUGGUUUCCGGAUGAUUACUCAAGAACUCUUAUGCCUAGGAUCAUGAAACUUCAUAGGUACAUUGAUCACGACUCGCAGAUGACACCUAUUGAUUUUCAGGUCACUAGGUCAAAUGUCAAGGUCACGGUGACCCGAAACAGUAAAAUGGUUUCCGAAUGAUAACUCAAUAACGCUUAUGCAUAGGAUCAUGAAACUUCAUAGGUAAAUUGAUCAUGAAUCGCAGAUGACCCUAUUAAUUUUCAGGUCACAAGGUCAAGGUCAGGUGACUUGAAACCGCAAAAUGGUUUCCGGACGAUAACUCAAGAAUGCUUACACCUAGGAUCAUGAAAAUUCAUAGGUUCAUUGAUCAUGACUGGCAGAUAACCCCUAAUAAUUUUCAGGUCACUAGGUCAAGGUCACAGUGAGUCGAAACAGUAAAAUGGUUUCCUGAUGAUAAAUCAAGAAUAAUUAGGCCUAGGAUCCUGAAACUUUAUAGGUACAUUGAUCAUGACUAGCAGAUGACCCCUAUCGAUUUUCAGGUUACUAGGUCAAGGUCACAGUGACAAAAACUAAUUCACACUUUGGCUGCCACUUCAACUGACAGCCCAUAUGGGGGGCAUGCAUGUUUUACAAACAGCCCUUGUUAAAAUAGAUUUUGUGAAUUUGUGAUUGCUAAUGUUUAAUUUUUAUGUCUCCGAAGAAGGGCAUAUAGUGAUCGGACUGUACGUCUUUCCGUCACACUUUGCGUUUAGGUUUCGCGUUUAGGUUUCAAAAAAUGCUCAUAACUUCUAUGCCCCUUCACAUAGCAACUUGAUAUUUGGCAUGCAUGUGUAUCUCAUUGAGCUGCACAUUUUGAGUGGUGAAAGGUCAAGGUCAUCCUUCAAGGUCAAAGGUAAAAAAAACAUGUAUCAACGCAGCGCAGUAGGGGGACAGUGUGUUUCUGACAAACACAUCUCUUGUUUUAUGUUCUAUAAUAUGUUUGUAUGUCAGGAGAAACAAUAAAGUUUUGUUUUUACAAUACAUACUAAACUUGUGGCAGAAUUGUUUAGUAAUGAAAAUACAAAUUGCAGCAAUUGCAUCUGUUAAAGAACUUUGAAUGGUUAUAAUUGAUGUAAAGAUUGUUUUAUUGAAAUAUUUCAUUUUUAAAAUGACUUCACAUGUUGAAAAAAAUGUUAUGUAUUUUUUAUAAAAAAAUUAAUUAAUUUUAGUUAGUCAUAAAAAAAUAUUGAAUCAUUCACACUCUUUUAUAAAUGUUCUGACCUACUGACUGGUGGAUUGCGAACAUAAUGGUAUACCUUUGUGUGUGUUUGUAUUUAUUAUUACAUGUUUUAUAAUUAAAAAAUAAAUUAAGAAUUAUACAUUUAAAAGUCGUUUACCUUCCAUUUUUUUCAGUGUGAUUUUUUCUGUGUGAUUAUGCAUAUCUGGAAGUGUGUACCGCUGGCUUAACAUUUUCAAAGAAUUUAUCUCUAUGUUAUUAUGAACUUUAGGGAGUUUGUACCGCCGGCGUAACAUUUUCAAAGAAUUAUCUGUCUGUGUGAUUAUGAACCUUAGGGAGUUUGUACCGCCAGCGUAACAUUAAGAAAUAUCUGUCUGUGAUUAUGCAUAGUUUGUACCGCCGGCGUAACAUUUUGUCAUUGUAGAGUUUGUACCGCCAGCGUAACAUUUUCAAAGAAAUAUCUGUCUGUGAUAAUGCAUAGUUUGUACCGCCGGCGUAACAUUUUGUCAUUGUAGAGUAACAUUUUCAAAUAUCUGUCUGUGUGAUUAUGAACCUUAGGGAGUUUGUACCGCCGGCGUAACAUUUUCAAAGAAUUAUCUGUCUGUGUGAUUAUGAACCUUAGGGAGUUUGUACCGCUGGCGUAACAUUUUCAAAGAAUUAUCUGUCUGUGUGAUUAUGAACCUAAGGGAAUUUGUACCGCC